UACGUAGGUGGCAAGCGUUGUCCGGAUUUACUGGGCGUAAAGAGCGCGCAGGCGGUCGUUCAAGUCGCGUGUGAAAGCCCCGGCUCAACUGGGGAGGGUCACGCGAUACUGAUCGACUCGAAGGCAGGAGAGGGUAGUGGAAUUCCCGGUGUAGUGGUGAAAUGCGUAGAUAUCGGGAGAACACCAGUGGCGAAGGCGACUACCUGGCCUGUUUCUUGACGCUGAGGCGCGAAAGCUAGGGGAGCAACGGGG
rnacentral:rRNA from 1 species